rnacentral:rRNA from 1 species
UACGGAGGGUGCAAACGUUGCUCGGAAUCAUUGGGCGUAAAGCGCACGUAGGAGGUUCAGUAUGUCGGGUGUGAAAGCCCUCGGCUUAACCGAGGAAGUGCAUUCGAAACUGCUGGACUUGAAUACUGGAGAGGAUCGCGGAAUUCCCGGUGUAGAGGUGAAAUUCGUAGAUAUCGUAAGGAAGACCAGUGGCGAAGGCGGGUCUCUGGACAGUUCCUGACGCUGAGGCACGAAGGCCAGGGGAGCAAACGGG